AUUGUUCGCCCCGACAUUGUGGCGUUUGUUAGCCCCGACAUUGUGGCUAUAGUUUGCCCCGACCUUGUGGCAAUUGUUCACCCCGACAUUGUGGUGUUUGUUAGCCCCGACAUUGUGGCUAUAGUUUGUGAAUACGAGUUGUAGCUACCUAUUUUAAUCUGAUCACUUGAAAUGCACACUUGUGAUCAUUUUACAAUGGGAUGUUGUCAACGACAACAAAGUAUGAAACAACAACCAAAAGAUUUCUUUUGCUUUAGAUGACGAUCAAGCCCGAGGAACUCCUGAUGAAGAGGAGCAGAGCCAAGCCGAGGGGAGUUAAGCUGACGAGGACGUUCAGCUGUCAGGAGAGGCCGUGUUAGAAACUUUCCCAACGUCGUGCGACGGAGCGCGGAGGGCGGGACAAUAACGCCGCGUGCGCCACGUCGCAUCAUGCGGUAGCAUCGCUCUCUUUGCUUCGAGCUCGCGGCAGCGACGGACGUACUCUCUAGUGCUAAUUGAACGCGUACUUGUACUUGUGUCGAUAAACAUUUAGUUGAUGUAAAUGAAUAAAUCUUGUAAAGUUACUCCGUGUCUUAUUCUUUUUUUAAAAUAAAAUUCUCUUUCACUUCUGAUUUCUAAGA
rnacentral:misc_RNA from 1 species